rnacentral:rRNA from 1 species
UAGGGAAUAUUGGACAAUGGGCGAAAGCCUGAUCCAGCAAUGCCGCGUGAGCGAUGAAGGCCUUAGGGUUGUAAAGCUCUUUUACCCGGGAUGAUAAUGACAGUACCGGGAGAAUAAGCCCCGGCUAACUCCGUGCCAGCAGCCGCGGUAAUACGGAGGGGGCUAGCGUUGUUCGGAAUUACUGGGCGUAAAGCGCACGUAGGCGGCUAUUUAAGCCAGAGGUGAAAGCCCGGGGCUCAACCCCGGAAUUGCCUUUGAGACUGGAUAGCUAGAAUCUUGGAGAGGCGGGUGGAAUUCCGAGUGUAGAGGUGAAAUUCGUAGAUAUUCGCAAGAACACCAGUGGCGAAGGCGGCUCACUGGCCCGGUACUGACGCUGAGGUGCGAAAGCGUGGGGAGCAAACA